GGUUGCUGUCACAGAUUUGUAAAGUGCAGCGCCGCGAGACAGAGCAGUCUGGGGCGCGCGCACCGAAAAGAUGGAGCUGUCGGCGGGAGGAGAUCGGGUUUUCGCCGCGGAAGCCAUCCUGAAAAGUCGUGUUAGGAAAGGUCGAAUUGAGUACCUGGUUAAAUGGAAAGGCUGGGCAUUGAAACACAGCACAUGGGAACCAGAAGAGAACAUCCUGGAUGAUCGACUCAUCACAGCCUUUGAGCAAAAGGAACGGGAGCAAGAACUUUAUGGCCCAAAGAAACGUGGACCUAAACCAAAAAACUUUGUACUGAAGGCACGAGCACAGGCGGGUGAAACAUCUCGAAGCUCAAAAACCAGACUCACUCCACCUCGCACUGCUGCGAGGCCUCCCACCUCUUCCUCUUCUGCAAGUUCAGCAGCUCCUCAGCCUUCAUCGACCUCUUCCUAUGCUACAGCUCCAACCCCCAGAGUGCACUCCCUAGCUGCUGCUCAUAAACUCAAGAAGGACAUCCACCGUUGUCAUAGGAUGUCUCGUCGACCUUUGCCCAGACCCGACCCCCUGGCUGACCCCACGGGAUCCAUAUUUUUGUCCCGUCCUCCCAUUUCUCCAUUCUCUGAAACUGUCCGCAUCCUCAAUCGCAGGGUCAAACCACGGGAGGUAAAGCGAGGUCGCAUUAUCCUGAACCUGAAGGUCAUUGACAAAUCUGAAAGCAGUGGAGUAGCUAACAAGAGGACGCCACAGUCGUUUUCAGGGCGGGCGAAAAUCCCAUCCCGCAAUCGCAUCAUAGGGAAAAGGCAAGGGGACGUGCCCUACAGGCCAUUCCAGCAUCCAAUGAAAAUGUUGGGUUUCCCUAUGUAUGGUCAGCCUUUUGGGCUCCAUCCCUUUGGGCCAUUAUCUUCCAUGGCCAAUGAAGGGUUGGGAACUGGAGCCAAUCAAAGUGGUGGAAACUUUGGUGGAAGCCUUUCCUCUGCAAAUGUGCAGAAGUUUCAGUACCAGCCUCCACCAUCUCCUUCCAGUUCCAGUGGGUCUAACAGCAGCUCCUCUUCUUCUCAGAAACAACCAACACCUUCUCAAUCUGAAGUUCCUUCUUCUGUAGCUGGUCCAGCAUCCUGUUCCUACAAUGCCUCCCAACCUCCAAAAGCAGCUAAGCCCAGCUCUGCAUCCAGACCGGCACCAUUCCUCCCUUCGUCACCUUCCAGUUCAUCCUCUCCACUAUCGUCCUCUCUUGAAGAUGAAGACCAAGGCUCUCCAAAUGUCUCUGCAUCUCGGGGUGGAAAACGAAAGCUUCGCCAUCGAACCCAGGUGGCUCGAGCUUCGGUCUGCCAGGUUAGUGACUGCACUACUGCCCCACUUCCAGAGGAAAACAGGGUCCCAAAAGAGGGGGACCCUGAUUGGCGCCCUGAAAUUUCACCCAGCUGUGCCAAUGUAGUUGUGACUGACGUCACCACAAACCUUCUUACUGUCACCAUCAAGGAAUUCUGCCAUACAGGAGCGAGUUCCGAACCCUCCUCCCCUUCCCAUGUUGAAAACCCACCCUCUUCCACCCCUGCUGCCUCCUAAAGUUCCCCGUUAUCUGCUAUAACAAAUAUCUGCUCAUUUGCCCCCUAACCUCGCGAGAACUUGCUAUACUUGAUCCUGUUUUUCAACAGCCUAGCCUUUUUGCCCAGUAAUUGCACCUUCUCUUGUCACCUGCCAUCCUGUAGAGACCACGAUUCCCAUACCCCAGAACUAAAGUUCAGAAUCCACCUGAGAAAUCAUCUCAUCAGCAGCUUUCAUACAAAUGCUAUACAGUUAUAUUUUUUUUUUUUUUUUUACCAAAGUAACAAAUGGACUGAUGGUAUUGCACCAAGACAUUUCAUAUCUUGGUAAUUUUAAGGUGGAUACAGAACACAAGAUGAAAUUCAGCCAGUGUAGGUGACAAUUAUGUAUUGUCCGCACACACACUUGUUAGAUAACACUUGACGUGGCAAUAAGCCCAUUUAGGCCACAGCAUGCUAAAUAUGCAUCGAAUAGAUCUUGCCAAACUUUUCCUUUGCUCACAACGAACUCCUGCACUUGAAGAUUCAGAGUCAUAGCUAAAAUUCUCUAGACCUGGGAUAAAAUUUGUAUGGGUGGGGGCCUUCUUCCCUGGGCCCAAUGAGUAGGCUAUAGCAUAGAGGACCUUAGUGGGUCCCCAUCAUAACAGGGUCCAAAGCAACAUGUCCCCACUGACGACGGUCCAGCGAAGUCUAAGUGGAGGUCACCGUAUCACACAGCACAGUACAUGACUGUAUUUAUAUGCACGCACAAAGCUGCAAAAUCUAGAGAACUAUUAAGUUAUUUCCCUCUGCUUGACCUCCGCUCUGAUCCAGAUGUCCACAAGACUCUAAACUGAUUUAUUUUCAAGUGUGAACGCUGAGGACUGCAUCGAGAAUGUGGUACUGUACAGUAAACCUUCCAAAUACUCAACCACCCAUUUCCCUUAUCUGAGAAAUACCUUCUGUUUCCCUUCAGACUACAGUAGUUUGGGUUUUUUGUACUAGUUAAAUACUGUAUCUUUGGGGCCAAUAACCAGCGGUAAUUUCUCACAGAACUUGACUGGGGAGUUGGAAACACCUUUUUAGAAACCAUUGGGUUUCUUUUAAACCUACCAUAUGUAACAAAUUGCAUAGGUUGAUGAAACCCUCUUUCGCACUCUCAAACGUUACUGUCUGGGGACCAUGCAUAUUUUGUGUGUGCUGGUAACUGCAUGUAGGUGGCCCCAUAAGGCUGAAGGUAUACUUCGUUUUUCCGCAUGCCGUUACGCCAGUUUCGUCAUUAGCACAGUCCUCGUGCAGCCCAGACACACAGACAGUCUGCAUGCUUGUACAAUUUGCACAUGCAUAGAACUGCUAUUGAGUGAGCAAAUAACAACCAAGCUCAGCCUUAAUUACAUUAAUCAUGAAACGGCAUGAAGGCUUAAGGCCGAAACAUACUCUAUGCAAGUAUGUGAACGCAGACGCUUCUAUCUACGUAAGCUCGAUUUUGCAUGUAGUUGCAUUCCAAAAUGUGUCAGAAUCAACAUAACGCAAGUACGCGUUGCAUUUUCAACGUUGCCACAAGGGGUGCUACAGCAGGCAUUGAGGCCUGAGGAUACUUACAUUGUCUGCGUUGCUGAUCGCUCCGCACACAGUAUGCAGCACAGUCCACGUGGUCUGAUCGCACGUGGCCCAGAUUUUCUCGACCUGCGGACGUGGUCCUCGUAUGUGCACAUCGUCGGUGCAUGCGCCGGCCAUUGACUGUACUAAAAGAGUAUCACAAAGCAGCUGUAGUGGGCAUGUGUCGAACGCGUUCAUUUUCGCUCACGGUCAGAAGAGUAUACUCAGAAAGGCAACGCGGUCGGCCAGGCGCAAUCCGAUACGGAAUGCAGAAAAACGAAGUGUACCCGGGCCUUAAGUUUGAACUGCCUGCUUCUACAGUGAGUUUUCUCUUUCAAGUCAACUACUGUCAUGGUGUAGGAACAGUUUGACGGGAACAGAUGGCAUGCGAUGCAUGAUGGCAAUGCGUAACUGCGUAUGCGUACUUGCAUAAAAUGACUCUGACUUUAUACCCAAGCAAACAGACACACAUAUGGAGUGCACUCACCUUGCUCUCAAGUAGCAUUGGCAAGUCAAAGUGAUUCCCUGAAAGAAAUCUUGAGAAUGAGGACUUUUUAAAGAGAGUGCACUCUAUGUAGUUUGUGCACUAACUCAGUUGUUGUGCUGUUCACUCAUUAGCAGCUCUACGAAUUGACUAAUGGUGAGAACAUUUCAAUAGAUAUCCCAGGGUCAAUGAAAAUAUCAGAAACUCUUACCCAGUACAUUGUUAUAUGUCAAAAUAAGACAAGAAUGCAUUUGGACUUGUGAAGCUUUAGAUGCUGUUAAUACUGAUUAACAGUUGAUGAACAUAAACACUUCAAAUCUUCAGUCUUGCUGAGCUGUACCUGAAAAUUGUGGCAUUGCCGUGUAGGUGCAGAGUUUGGAUGAUGAUGUCCUUUUUCUUAUAUAGAGUAACUUUAGAAAAGGCCAUAUACACACAAUUAUAACUACAUACUAAAGAUUUUGUUAAACGAAUAGUUCACCCAAAAAUUGAAUUUCUGUCACUUACUAAUCCUUAAGCCAUUCCAAACCCCUAAUAUUUUCUUUCUUCCAUAGAACACAAACAUUUGCUAAUAAUAUUUCCCUCAGUAGCUCUCACUCUGGACAUUCUUCAAAAUUUGUGUUCCACAGAAGAGGACUUUCUUUUUUUCUGUGAACUAUUCCUUUAAAGUUGAGGUGUAGGGUGUAGAAAGGGAUGCUUUUCACUAGGAAAGGACUUUUUUUGGAAGUCCAGCAAGCAAUAUUCGGUGUGUCUCAUUUAAGAGGCCGCAUACGUCAUAGAGGCUCUUGUUUCAGAAAAGCAAGUACGAGACUCCAAAUGUAGCCUUCGAACGUGACCUUUCACAAAACUUUGGAGGACAUGGGAGGUGUAUCCUUCGUUGGCACUCACAACCUACAAUUUUUUGCAUCAGUGUAAACUAAAAUAAUUUUUCAGAAAAAAAAAAAACAAAUGACACCAAUUUACCCGAAGAUAUGAUGUUCAAAUAUUGAUUACCAAGUUGAAGCAGUAUAUAUACUGUGUAGAGUAUUUAUAAUAAUAAUAAUACAUAAUGUAAAAUUCUCACUCAAAGUGCUCGCGUAGGUUAAGAGUAAGGCGUGCUGUCGUAGCAACCAUGAUACGUUCUUUUUCCGUUUGUCCCAUGAAGGCCUUCUCAUUUAAACUAAGCUAAUUCUAAGUUAAGGACGCUCUGUAUAGCUACGCACAGAGGACGCGUCCUACCUAGCAACAGCCUUUGUAAUGAGACACACCUAUUAAUAACUUGUCUCAUUAGACCUGAAGAAACAGGUUAAUACAGUUUAUGGCAGCUAACUAGGUGUAUGGAAGGAUGAUAAAAUGCCAGACUCCACCAGAGGACAAAGUCAAACCUCAUUAUACGAUUUAAUUAUAGAACAUUGUUAAGUUGUGUGUGUAGUCAUGUAGCCGUCCUCUAAUGGAGCACUUUCGAUGUGCCUUUAGGGAUAAAUUAACCUUUAUUGUGGACAUGUAUUAUGUUGAAAAAUCAGGAAAAUAUGGCAACAUAUUUAACUUUCCAAAUUAUUUACAAAUAUUGUCACUUUUCUUUAUUUUGUGUGUGUGUGUGUGUGUAUAUAUAUAUAUAUAUAUAUAUAUAUAUAUAUAUAACUGUUUCUAACUUAUUAUGAAACUAUAAGUUGGUCAUUACCAUCUAGUAAAUUAGUUAGUUUACAGGCUACCACAAAGAUGAGGAAUAGUUCACCCAAAAUGAAAAUGAUUUCAUUAUUCUGCCAUUUCGUGAAUGUAUGCUGUUUUUCCAUGGAGCACAAAAGGAGAAUUUAUAAGAGCCAGUUAAUUAACCAGUUGGUCCAUUUUACAAAUCUGACUGAACAAUUUUUUAAAAUAUUAUUAUUUUUAUUUUUUUGGUUGGUUGGGUCAUUUUUAGGGCUCAAUGACUGUGGUCACUAUGAACUGCCGUUGCAUGUUCUGGAACAAACCUUUUAGAUUUUGAAUAAUUAAAGGGAUAGUUCACCCAAAAAUUAAAAUUCUCUCAUGAUUUACUCACCCUCCUGGCAUUCCAGAUAUGUAUGACUUUCUUCUGCAGAACACAAAUAAAGAUUUUUAGAAGAAUAUUUUAGCUUUGUAGGUGCAUACAAUGUAGCUCCAAAAUCCACAUAAAGGGAGUAUAGAAGUAAUCCAUUAGACUCCAGUGGUUAAAUCCAUGUAUUCAGGCACGAUAUGUUGGGUGUGGGUGAGAGACAGAUCAAUACUUAAGUCAUUUUUUUUUUUUAAUCAUACAUUCUCCUCUCUGCCCAGUAGGGGGCGAUAUGCAUGAAUAAUGUGAAUCACCAAAAGCAGAAGAAGGUGCAAGUGAACGAAAAAGGACUUAAAUAUUUAUCUGUUUCUCAUCCACACCUGUCGUAUCGCUUUAGAAAAUAUGGAUUUAACCACCAGAGUUGUCUGGAGUACUUUUAUGUUGCCCGUAUGUGAAUUUUGGAGCUUCAAAAUUUUGGCACCCAUUCACUUGCAUUAUAUGGACCUACAGAGCUGAAAUAUUCUUCUGAAAAACUUCAUUUGUGUUCAGCAGAAGAAAGAAAGUCAUACACAUCUGGAAUUGCAUGAGGGUGAGUAAAUGAUGAGAGAAUUUCUAUUUUUGGGUGAACUAACCCUUUAAUGAUGACAGAACUAUUCCUGUAGUGUGAACUCCUCUAACUUUUCAAUGUUUUGUUGAACAUUCUUUGAUAUUUUAAUCUGUUUUGUUUAUCAAAGUAGUCAUCAGUUUACCCAGGUCUGAAGUAAUUGAUGAUUCUGAAAAUAUCCAUGGUGUUGCCCCAUUUAGGGCAUCACGUGUGGUGCAUUAAAUCAAAAAUAUUGAUUAUCUGAAGCAUGUGUUGCAUUUAGCUACUCUGUUUUACCCCAUGAUGUUGUUACCUUGGCCUACAAAGUGUUUCACAUACAAACAGUCAAGUCUUUGUUUACCUUUAUAUCCUAAAUUGUAGAAAAUAGAUGUCACUAUGGUAUGAACCAGUGUAAGAUUGUUUCUCCUAAAGAGGUAGCUUAGCACUAUAAUAAUAUGUGGCCUACAUUUCAUGCAAUAGGGCUUGUAUUUUAUAGGACGUAGCCACCAGGGCCCGUCAUGGCACAGAUUAUGAGAUUAUGUUUUUGAAAAAAUAAGGUGUGGAUGAAGGUACUGGAGUUUGCAUCCUCAAAUAGCAGAUCAGAUGUGUUUUUCUGAGAUGAGUUUUAUUAUUAUUUCUGUACUGUAGAAGUGAAUGAUACGUGCUGCCUUUAUAGCCAUUGUUACAUUUUAAUAAUCUAAUUUGGGUUUGAGAGAAUGGAAAACCCAAACAACUGAACUAAGUGUGAUUUAUAGAAGUCAUCUUUUUUGUAGUAAAGUUAAUGAUUAUGAUAAUGAUUUUGUUGCUAUGACAUUGUAAUGUAACGAAUGCAUGAUUUCCGAAACCUAAUUGUACAGGUCAUUUAAAUGUCAUGAUGUUGUUGCUUUGUGUGUUUCUUGAAACAUGCUUUUAAUAAAAUUCCUUUAAAGACA